GGGCCAGUGGCGCGACUUGGAUAACGCGCCUGACUACGGAUCGGGAAGUCCACGGUUUCGAAUCCUGGCUGGCUCG